ensembl:lncRNA
UGAGGGAAACUUCUUAACAGUCAUGAGCUGUCCGAGAGCCGCUUCAGAUGGCGGCUGAAUAGUCUAUCGCCCUCCUUUCAGAGCUCGGUCUUCUGGGUAUGCAUUUGUUUGCUUUUGUUUUGUGCUCAAAUAAAGUUGUAGCUUUGUUCUCGCCUUUCCAAACGCCCUUUAGUAUUCUCAGUGAAAGGUCUGGAAAUAAUGCUGGCAGCUUCUGUGAGCCUGAUGGGAGCGAGCACCGAUCAGAUGGGCGAUUCCCCGGCAUUUUUUAUUUACUAACAACAGGCUCUUAUCUCGAGCUGUGCCCAGCUCUGGAAAAACUCCUCUCCACCCCUCCAUCCCCCCGCAUCGGAGCUGUGAUUUGUGUAACUGGCUGCGCCGUAAUCGCCUGCCUUGAUCAGAGCUUCAUCCCACUUUGCUCCCACCCGGCUGAAUUUUUGACUUGAUAAAUUGGAUGGGGAUUUCAGUGGGAUCUCAGGGCCUUCCAGGCUGCUCGUCGCUUGGCUGAACUUUGUCAAACAUGGGUUGCACUGUAUCCGGCACAGAGAUAGGGGUGCAAUGAGUUGGAGGAAGCUGGGAAGGCGUAACAGAUCCGGACGCUGCCCUCUGUCCUGGACACCGUGUGAGGAGGCAUCAGUGCUCCCCAGCCAGAAGAAAGACUUCUCUGACCUUCGUUUCUCUGCUCAGUGGCCAUGCCAGGAGCUGCUGCUGGAAGCCCAGUGCCGGGUCCAUGGGGAGAUCUGCCUGAGGAGCAGCCCUGAGGCCAUGAAGAAGCGUGCAGCAGAUUCCUGAUGUUCACCUUCAGAAGCAAGAUAGCCUUUCUUUAAGGACUCGGCUCUCCUGCAGCUCCGGUGCUCACAAUGGGUGCUCUCACCUCGCCCCGCGCAUCGCUCCAUGCUGUGGUGCUCUGGUUUCUCAACUGAAAAAAAAAAAAAAUGGGAAAAAGAGAAAAUGUGGGUUUCCAUGGAGACAACUGUUCUGCUCUAAAAUCUGAGGGCAGAUCCACGUGGAGGACCCAGUCUAUACGCAGCAUCUCUGUUUGCCAAGAGGGAGAAGAUGUGUUUCCUCUCCUUAUCCUAAAGCACUUGAGGAGUCAGAGUUGCCUUGACACAGCCAGGAGCACUGGGAUGAAGGGAGAAGCCCUUGCAGGAAGUUUUACCCACAGCUGUGGUCCUGAGCACCGACUGGAGAGAGGCAGCUCCUGAACUACCCACACACUGGGAAUGCGAAUGCUUUGUUUCAAUAACAUUUAACAGCGAUUGCCUCGGCAACCUCUGGCCUGCUGUGAUUAAAUAUUAAUAUGCUUCUAGUCCCUGCUCUUACUCUGUUUUUCUCUCUGCUUUCUAAAUGAAGCUACACACUCUUGGCCUUUCC